rnacentral:rRNA from 1 species
CGGACGGGUGAGUAACGCGUGAGAAUCUGGCUUUAGGUCUGGGACAACCACUGGAAACGGUGGCUAAUACCGGAUGUGCCCUUAGGGGUGAAAGGUUAACUGCCUGAAGAUGAGCUCGCGUCUGAUUAGCUAGUAGGUGUGGUAAAGGCGCACCUAGGCGACGAUCAGUAGCUGGUCUGAGAGGACGAUCAGCCACACUGGGACUGAGACACGGCCCAG